rnacentral:misc_RNA from 1 species
AACGCACCUUGCGCUCCUUGGUAUUCCGAGGAGCAUGCCUGUUUGAGUGUCAUUAAAUUCUCAACCCCUCCAGCUUUUGCGAGUUGUGAUGGGGCUUGGAUCUGGGAGUUUGCGGGUCUUUAUCAAUAAAGGUCAGCUCUCCUGAAAUGCAUUAGCGGAACCGUUUGCAGUCCCGUCACUAGUGUGAUAAUUAUCUACACUGUGAUGAUUGCUCUCUGACUAGUUCAGCUGCUAAUCGUCCACUCUGGACAACACUUAAUGAACUUCUUGACCUCAAAUCAGGUAGGACUACCCGCUGAACUUAA